rnacentral:rRNA from 1 species
UACGAGGGGGGCUAGCGUUGCUCGGAAUGACUGGGCGUAAAGGGCGCGUAGGCGGACUGCACAGUCAGGCGUGAAAUUCCUGGGCUUAACCUGGGGACUGCGUCUGAGACGUGUGGUCUAGAGUGAGGAAGAGGGUCGUGGAAUUUCCGGUGUAGAGGUGGAAUUCGUAGAUAUGGGAAAGAACACCGGUGGCGAAGGCGGCGACCUGGUCCACAACUGACGCUGAGGCGCGAAAGCGUGGGGAGCAAACAGG